CGCGUAGGAAUCUACCUUAUAGUGGGGACAACUCGGGGAACUCGAGCUAAUACCGCAUACUCCUUACGAGGGAAAGCAGGGGAUCUUCGGACCUUGCGCUAUUAGAUGAGCCUGCGUCGGAUUAGCUAGUUGGUAGGGUAAUGGCCUACCAAGGCAACGAUCCGUAGCUGGUCUGAGAGGAUGAUCAGCCACACUGGGACUGAGACACGGCCCAGACUCCUACGGGAGGCAGCAGUGGGGAAUAUUGGACAAUGGGCGCAAGCCUGAUCCAGCAAUGCCGCGUGUGUGAAGAAGGCCUUAGGGUUGUAAAGCACUUUCAGGAGGGAAGAAAAGCACAAGAUUAAUAAUCUUGUGUCUUGACGGUACCUUCAGAAGAAGCACCGGCU
rnacentral:rRNA from 1 species